UUCAUAAUAACAGAUCAUAAAGCAAACAUGUCUUUAAUAGCCAUCAUUAUUUGGACGCUCGCAACCUGCACCUGGAGUUCUGUGGGGCAGAUUCUGACUCAAUCUGAAGAUCAAACAGGGAAUCCUGAUCAGACUGUCACUAUUCACUGUAAUCAUACACCAGCUGUGAAUUGUCGGAAAAAGGAUACCUCUCUGUAUUGCAUGUCCUGGUACCAUCAGAUUCCUGGAGAAGCUCCUAAACUCCUGACCUAUUACACAUCACAGAUAGCUUCAGGUGUUUCUUCUAGAUUCAGUGGCAGUGAAAGUGGAAACCACAUGGAUUUUACGCUGGCCAUCAGUGGAGUCCAGCCUGAAGAUUCAGGAGUUUAUUACUGUCAGAGUCAACAUGACAAAGGUGUCUCUGGCACCACAGACUGGGUGUUCACACAGUGUAAAAGCAUCAUACAAAAACCUCCUCGGGUGAGACUGCAGCACUGCCGCUUUGAGCUUCUGCAGAUGUUGAUGUUGAAGAUCAUUAUUCACCUCACUGACUUUACACACAGAUACACAGAAACUCUCUUUAAUGCUGAUUACAAUCCAAUAAAAUCCAUUCAGCCAUGA